rnacentral:rRNA from 1 species
UACGUAGGGUGCAAGCGUUGUCCGGAAUUAUUGGGCGUAAAGAGCUCGUAGGCGGUUUGUCGCGUCUGCUGUGAAAACUCGGGGCUUAACUCCGGGCCUGCAGUGGGUACGGGCAGACUAGAGUGCGGUAGGGGAGACUGGAAUUCCUGGUGUAGCGGUGAAAUGCGCAGAUAUCAGGAGGAACACCGGUGGCGAAGGCGGGUCUCUGGGCCGAAACUGACGCUGAGGAGCGAAAGCGUGGGGAGCGAACAGG